rnacentral:lncRNA from 1 species
AUGCCCACCGGGCGAGCCCAGGAAACAAAGCUGCUCAGAGAGGCCGCCGCCCCGGGCCGCCUGAUGACAAGUCCCUGCCCGGCCCGACGUUCCUCCGCGGACAAGCCCAGACGGUGCCGAGACCUUCAAGCAGGUGCCGACCCGACCGUCCCAGGAGCGCUUUGCACCCCGAAGUGUACUCCAGGGAUCCACUCUUGCCUCUGCCUCUGCAUCAGCCGCGCCGACAUCUAUGCACACCAGACACCCCACCAUCCACAGCUGAAGCAGGAUUCCCUGUUAGGAUGCGGAGACCACCUGAAUCCUCUUGGUCCCGCUUUUGGUACACCGGAGCAUCAUGAAAACGAAUUACCAGAUUUAAACAUUAGGAUUCCUGUUGAAGUAUGCAGCAAAGAACAAGUAUUAUCUACAGAAACUGAAGCUCAAGGAGUUUACACUUCUACGUCCAAACAUACUUCACAUAUGCCUAGUGAGGGUAGGAAUAAAACAUCCUUAUAA